UAAAUUCUAUAAUUAAUUUUAAUUUCAGAAUUCAGUGAAUCAUCUAAUCUUUUAACUCACCUUGCGCUCCUUGGUAUUCCUUGGAGCAUGCCUGUUUGAGUAUCAUGAAAUCUUCAAAGUAAAUCUUUUGUUAACUCAAUUGGUUUCUACUUUGGUAUUGGAGGUCUUUGCAGCUUCACACCUGCUCCUCUUUGUUCAUUAGCUGGAUCUCAGUGUUAUGCUUGGUUCCACUCGGCGUGAUAAGUUAUCUAUCGCUGAGGACACUGUAAAAGGUGGUCAAGGUAAAUGCAGAUGAACCGCUUCUAAUAGUCCAUUGACUUGGACAAUACUUUUAUGAUCUGAUCUCAAAUCAGGUAGGACUACCCGCUGAACUUAAGC
rnacentral:misc_RNA from 1 species